rnacentral:rRNA from 1 species
AUUGAACGCUGGCGGCAGGCUUAACACAUGCAAGUCGAGCGGGGGAAGGUAGCUUGCUACUGGACCUAGCGGCGGUCGGGUGAGUAAUGCUUAGGAAUCUGCCUAUUAGUGGGGGACAACAUCUCGACAGGGAUGCUAAUACCGCAUACGUCCUACGGGAGAAAGCAGGGGACCUGCGGACCUUGCGCUAAUAGAUGAGCCUAAGUCGGAUUACAUAGUUGGUGGGGUAAAGGCCUACCAAGGCGACGAUCUGUAGCGGGUCUGAGAGUGUGAUCCGCCACACUGGGACUGAGACACGGCCCAGACUCCUACGGGAGGCAGCAGUGGGGAAUAUUGGACAAUGGGCGGAACCCUGAUCCAGCCAUGCCGCGUGUGUGAAGAAGGCCUUUUGGUUGUAAAGCACUUUAAGCGAGGAGGAGGCGCUCUAGGUUAAUACCCUAGAUGCGUGGACGUCACUCGCAGAAUAAGCACCGGCUAACUACGUGCCAGCAGCCGCCGUAACAC